rnacentral:lncRNA from 1 species
GGUGCGAGCAUCAUGUCCUGCAGUGCCCUGAAUUCGUGGGGCAGCUGUGGUUCUGUCCUUGUAAGCUGGCCGGCUGUGCUGCUGCCCUGAUUGUGCUGUGUGUUCUCUGGAGCAGCUCUAGGUGUGCUUGAUUCAGCACAGCCAUGAGCAUGGUUUGUGAAGAGGAUACUGGAGAGGCAGAGUGCUGAGCAGGCCUCAGGUAAAUAAUUUGUAGUUGUUUUUUUUUUAAAGCACAUCUAAAGAUGGGCUUCACUGGGCUGUGCUGGUGCGCUGCUCACAAAACUGCUGCUUGUCAGUGGAUCUGUUGGCUCUUAUGAUCCUAUCUGUCACCGUGAGGAGCUGAUUACUGUGCUGCAGCUACGAGUAGCUGCCAUUACAUGUCAGUGUAUGCAGGAGGGUUACUCAGCUUUUUCAGUGCGUCAGCACUGAGAUAACAGCUUCACUGCAAACUCAGUGCCUGGAGAAGGGCUCCUGUUAGAUCAGCUCAGCUCAGCCAGGGCUGGCUCUCAGGGUCGGAGCUCUGCUGAUGCCCGCUUUCGUUGGGUGCAAAUGUGCCCGAGUCAAAUUAAUCAGAGAAAACCUGGUUUGAUGACGUGGUGGGAGCCUGAGCAGCGAGGGAGCAGGGAUGAGCCUGCUUGCUCGUGGGGCUGGAACUGA